UACUACUUGGAUAACCGUGGUAAUUCUAGAGCUAAUACAUGCUAAAAACCCCAACUUCGGGAGGGGUGUAUUUAUUAGAUAAAAAACCAAUGCCCUUCGGGGCUCUCUGGUGAUUCAUAAUAACUUCUCAGAUCGCAUGGCCUUGCGCCGGCGACGGUUCAUUCAAAUUUCUGCCCUAUCAACUUUCGAUGGUAAGGUAUUGGCUUACCAUGGUUUCAACGGGUAACGGGGAAUUAGGGUUCGAUUCCGGAGAGGGAGCCUGAGAAACGGCUACCACAUCCAAGGAAGGCAGCAGGCGCGCAAAUUACCCAAUCCCAAUACGGGGAGGUAGUGACAAUAAAUACUGAUACAGGGCUCUUUAGGGUCUUGUAAUUGGAAUGAGUACAAUUUAAACCUCUUAACGAGGAACAAUUGGAGGGCAAGUCUGGUGCCAGCAGCCGCGGUAAUUCCAGCUCCAAUAGCGUAUAUUAAAGUUGUUGCAGUUAAAAAGCUCGUAGUUGAACCUUUGGCCUGGCUGGCGGGUCCGCCUCACCGCGUGCACUCGUCCGGCCGGGCCUUUUCUUCUGGAGAACCGCAUGCCCUUCACUGGGUGUGUUGGGGACCAGGACUUUUACUUUGAAUAAAUCAGAGUGUUCAAAGCAGGCAUUUGCUCGAAUACGUUAGCAUGGAAUAAUAGAAUAGGACGUGCGGUCUUAUUUUGUUGGUUUCUAAGACCGCCGUAAUGAUUAAUAGGGACAGUCGGGGGCAUCAGUAUUCAAUUGUCAGAGGUGAAAUUCUUGGAUUUAUUGAAGACUAACUACUGCGAAAGCAUUUGCCAAGGAUGUUUUCAUUAAUCAGUGAACGAAAGUUAGGGGAUCGAAGACGAUCAGAUACCGUCGUAGUCUUAACCAUAAACUAUGCCGACUAGGGAUCGGGCGGUGUUAUUAUUUUGACUCGCUCGGCACCUUACGAGAAAUCAAAGUGUUUGGG
rnacentral:rRNA from 1 species